rnacentral:rRNA from 1 species
GAUGAACGCUGGCGGCGUGCCUAAUACAUGCAAGUCGAGCGAACAGACGAGGAGCUUGCUCCUCUGACGUUAGCGGCGGACGGGUGAGUAACACGUGGAUAACCUACCUAUAAGACUGGGAUAACUUCGGGAAACCGGAGCUAAUCCCGGAUAAUAUAUUGAACGGCAUGGUUCAAUAGUGAAAUACGGUUUUGCUGUCACUUAUAGAUGGAUCCCCGCGGCAUUGGCUAGUUGGUAAGGAAACGGCUUACCAAGGCGCCGAUGCGUAGCCGACCGGGGAGGGUGAUCGGCCACCCUGGAAGUGAGACACGGUCCAGACUCCUGAGGGAGGCAGCAGUAGGGAAUCUGCCGCAAAGGGCGAAAGCCUGACGGAGCAACGCCGCGUGAGUGAUGAAGGUCUUCGGAUCGUAAAACUCUGUUAUUAGGGAAGAACAAAUGUGUAAGUAACUAUGCACGUCUUGACGGUACCUAAUCAGAAAGCCACGGCUAACUACGUG